CAGUCCCCUGCUUCAGGAGAGUGAAAUUUCAAUUACUUGUUGAUGACAUGGCGCAUUAUGAAGUACUUGAGCAAAUUGGAAAAGGUGCUUUUGGUUCUGCACUUCUUGUCAAGCAUAAGCAUGAGAAGAAAAAAUAUGUUUUAAAGAAGAUUUGCCUUGUCCGUUGUAACGACCCAACUUCUAGCCCGUCAUGACCAAGCCUAGCAGCUAGGCGCUACUAUUCAGUUGACUUUAGGGACUCUAGACCAUAUAUUAAGUAUAUACAUAUGAGCCUAUAGCACUAGUCGAGAAUCGCGUAUCUAGUCGAGUAUAUCGGAAUAAUUGUAAGUUAAGCAGAUAAUACAAGGAACAGAUAAGCAUAACAAGCAUAAUCAUAGCAUACAUGAAAUGCCAUAGUCUGGGAUUCGAUCUACUUAUUAAAUAAAUACAAAAGAGCUAGCCCUCUAAAAGUCUAUCUAGAGCGAGGGAAAGGACCACUGCUACCAUUACUACUACUGCUGCUGAAACAGUAUAUUUGGAAGCUGCUAACACAUUACGCUGAAACUAGAGAAUCACUCCUACGUGCUCGUGAUGUUGCUGCUGCUUGCAUCAUCGGUGGAGUCCUCCUCCCUGGUCUUGAAAGAACUAUAGUACAGAUCGGUCAUCAUCUGAUCGAUCAAUGCCUCUGAGCUAUACUCUGAUGAAGAUGUGGAUCCAGAGGCAUGGGUCGAUCAGAUGAUGGCGGACCUGUACUCUAGUUCUUUUGAGACCGGGGAGGAGGACUCUACUGAGGAUGCGAGCAGUGGGCACGUCGUAGUGAUUCCCUCGUUUCAGCAUAAUGUGUUAGCAGCUUCCGGAUAUACAGUUUCAGCAGCAACAGUAGUAGUAGUAAUGGUAGUAGUGAUCCUUGCCCUCACUCUGGAUAGACUUUUAGAGGGCUAGCUCUUUUGUAUUUAUUUAAUAAGUAGAUCGGGUCUCAGACUAGGAUGGCUCUAGUGAGCUGGGGCCUGUAAGUAUAAAUAAUGGAGUAUGUACGUAUUAUAAUAAGCAGUUAAGUAUGAACUUGAGUUAUGUAAUAAACUAAGCCAGCGGCAUUUCAUAUAUGCUAUGAUUAUGCUUAUCUGUUCCUUGUAUUAUCUGUUUAACUUAGUAUUAUCUGUUUAACUUACAAUUAUUCUGAUAUACUCAACUAGCGCUACAGGCUCAUAUGUGUAUCCUUAAUAUAUGGUCUAGAGUCUCUAAAAUCAACUGAAUAGUAAUGCCUAGCUGCUAGCCUUGGUCAUGACGUGCUAGAAGUUGUCAAACUGAGCAUCCCGCAGGUCUGCAAACCAGGAGAUGGAGCUCAUUUCCAAACUAAGAAAUCCAUUUAUAGUAGAGUUACAAAGAUUCAUGGGUAGAAAGGGUACGGUUCUUCUUUUGUUAUCCUCAUUUAAUUACAAUAAUGGUCUCUAUAAAGCUUGCUUUCGUAUCAUAAAAUUUUCCAAGAAGUUAAACUUAGUCUUAUCUGAUCCUAAGCACAAAAAUAUUAGUAUUCAUU